CCUGACUGCUAUCGGAUUGAUACUAAGCCAUGCGAGUCAUUGUAGUAAUACAAGGCAGACGGCUCAGUAACGCGUAGUCAACCUACCCUAUGGACGGGGAUAACCUCGGGAAACUGAGAAUAAUACCCGAUAGAACAUUAUGCCUGGAAUGGUUUAUGUUUCAAAUAAUUUAUUGCCGUAGGAUGGGACUGCGGCCUAUCAGUUUGUUGGUGAGGUAAUGGCCCACCAAGACUAUUACAGGUACGGGCUCUGAGAGGAGUAGCCCGGAGAUGGGUACUGAGACACGGACCCAGGCCCUAUGGGGCGCAGCAGGCGAGAAAACUUUGCAAUGUGCGAAAGCACGACAAGGUUAAUCCGAGUGGUUUCUGCUAAAGGAACCUUUUGUCAGUCCUAGAAACACUGGUGGAUAAGGGGUGGGCAAGUUCUGGUGUCAGCCGCCGCGGUAAAACCAGCACCUCAAGUGGUCAGGAUGAUUAUUGGGCCUAAAGCAUCCGUAGCCUGCUUUGUUAGUUUUCGGUUAAAUCCAUACGCUCAACGUAUGGGCUGCCGGGAAUACUGCAAAGCUAGGGAGUGGGAGAGGUAGACGGUACUCGGUAGGAAGGGGUAAAAUCCUUUGAUCUAUUGAUGACCACCUGUGGCGAAGGCGGUCUACCAGAACACGUCCGACGGUGAGGGAUGAAAGCUGGGGGAGCAAACCGGAUUAGAUACCCGGGUAGUCCCAGCUGUAAACUAUGCAAACUCAGUGGUGCAUUGGCUUGAUGCCAAUGCAGUGCUGCAGGGAAGCCGUUAAGUUUGCCGCCUGGGAAGUACGUACGCAAGUAUGAAACUUAAAGGAACUGGCGGGGGAGCACCACAAGGGGUGAAGCCUGCGGUUC
rnacentral:rRNA from 1 species